CUCUGGCUCUCUUGUUUUCGAUCUUCCAGGCUUUCCCUCUGGAAAACAAAACGUCUCCGAGUCUUCUCUCGCUCUCUUCCCAACCGGCAGAAAGUGUCAUAGAAGUGGCAUUGAUGGUGGUGCAGCGUACAUCCCCUAAGUUGAAGAGUUUUAUCAGCAGUGCGAUCCUGGGACAACUUCAACAAAUGAGGCUACGUCUACAUCGGCUGCAAUAUGACUUCAUAGUUCGAUCCACCAUUGUCAUUGAUUUGUAUAACUUGUCUCUUAAUUAUUUGUAGUAUGUAUAUAAUGUUUGUAAUUCUAAUUAUUUUUCUUGUAUUUUUUUCAGCUUUUAUAAUCUCAC